GGAGGCCGGGCAGCUGGACCAGAGAGAGCAGGGGUAAAGCGAAGCGGGAAGACGAUAAGGAGUGUAGGGAAAAAUCACGAAAGACCGAAAUGUCAUGAGAGCCUCGACUGGCUGCCUGCCUACCCGUUUCUGGCCUCUAAGAGUUCAACAUCAUGAGGCCAUUAGGCGGCCAGGCUCGGCAUCGCCGUUCGGAGCUAAAACGGAGAGUUAGCCUCUACGGGGCCAGCCGACGACGGGCCACACGCGUGCUGCCUUCUGGGCACCUCCCAUCCCUGGGUGCCUCGGAACCUCAGGGCUCAGAGAGGCUAACGGCGAGCUGGAGGUCACAUGGCCAUCUUCUGCCAGGCCAGGAUCGGAUGGAUGCCAGACUCGCCCUCCUUCCCCUUCCCUGGGGAGAUUUGGAUCCAUGUUCAUCAACCGCGACAUCGCUCUCUGGUCGGCCCCUUCAACGGUAUAGGGGGAGCCAGGUAAGUCUCUCGGAGCCCCCCGUCCCCCACUGACAGUUUAUAACAGUG